rnacentral:rRNA from 1 species
UACAAUGGCGUAACAAAGGGAAGCGAACCCGUGAGGGGGAGCAAAUCCCAAAAAUAACGUCCCAGUUCGGACUGUAGUCUGCAACCCGACUACACGAAGCUGGAAUCGCUAGUAAUCGCGAAUCAGAAUGUCGCGGUGAAUACGUUCCCGGGUCUUGUACACACCGCCCGUCACACCAUGGGAGUCGGGAAUGCCCGAAGUCAGUGACCCAACCUAUAGGAGGGAGCUGCCGAAGGCAGGUCUGAUAACUGGGGUGAAGUCGUAACAAGGUACC